AUGGCGUCGGCGGCGGCGGCGGCGCUGGCGGCGGCGGGGAAGCGACAGUUAUCCGAGGACGACCUGUACCUCAUCCUCCACAAGUACUCGCCGGCGACGAUCCUGACGGCGCUGCAGGAGGUGACGCAGCACGCGCAGCGGAGGAGCAUCGACUGGCGGGCGCUGGUGGCCAAGACGGCCACGGGGAUCACCUCCGCCCGCGAGUACCAGAUGCUCUGGCGCUACAUCGCCUACGGGCACGACUUCGUCGAGAACGUCGAGGACGGCAGCCCCCAGCCGCUGGGUGAUGAGAGCGACUUGGAGUGUGAGAUUGAACCAUCUCCUAAGCCGAGCAACGAAGCCGCAGCUGAGGCCUCACGGUUCGCCAAGAUCUUGAUGUAUGGACCUUCACGCGAGCAAGGUUCUAGUCAUCGUGCUAACUCAGAUGUUCCUCUGCUAAACACUCCAAAUGAAAAGAUACCACGCGUUUCAUCUGACAAACAGCUUGCUCAGAGCCAUCGUCUAACAAAUGGUACAGGUCCAGUUUCCAACUCAAAGCAGGCACCCCAUACAGGGUUAUCUCCUGAUUCUUUUGAUGGGAAUGGACCUCAUAAUAAAAAGACAAAGAAGACUAAAGCAUGGACUAAGGAUGAGGAUGCAGAGUUAAGGGCUGGUGUACAUAAGUGUGGUGAAGGAAAUUGGCUGGACAUUCUGCGUAAAUAUAACUUCGAUAGCACAAGAACUUAUGGUCAAUUGUCUCAGAGAUGGGCAGUAAUUAGCAGGCGUCAAGCAACAACCAAGCCUGCUAAAGCUAAACCAGUCACCGGGGGAUAUGAUAUGAAAGCUACUCAAAAGGCAUUCUUUAUGGCUCUUGAUAUGCCUAUGGGGAAGCCUGGUGGAUUGUCUACAUUAAGAUCAGGAGCUUCACAACAAAGCACUCAACAUCCUGCUCCAGUAUUUGGUGCUGCGGCACCUGAGUUAAAAUCUGCAACAUCCUCUUCAUCAUUCUCGUUGCCAGUACCAGUGCCAAGUGCAGCCCCUGGGCCUGUGUCAGCACAAGUGCAGGUUCAACCUCCUCGGGCGCAACAAGUUCCUUCUCAAGCUGCGCCCUCAAAAGUGUCAAAUGCUUCAAUCAAGUCACGGAAUAGCUCUAAGAAGCAAACUGCACAAGCAAAUCCUACAAAUGCUCCUUCCUCUAUACAAGCUGCAGCUAUUGCUGCCGGUGGACGAAUCGCCACAGCAAGCAUCGCCACCAAUUUAUUGAAAGCUGCACAAUCCCCGCAAGCUGUGCACAUAAGAUCUCGAGGAAAAGGGUCUUCAAAAACUUCUACAAGCUCUAAAGCCUCCACCAUGGCUGGUGAGCCUGGAACACAGACUGGCGGUGCUCAACACCCAGAACUUCCAAACUGCAGUGCCCCUACACAAUCUCCUACGGUUUUGAUAACACAGUCAACCGAGCAAGUUAAUGUUGUACCAGAAGUUGCAGGAGUUAAUCCCCCGGAACAAUCUGCUAGUGCACAUUUGUUGGAACCUGAUAGAACAUUGAGCACCACACCAGUGCCUGGCCCAUGCGACAAUAUGGAGAUUGAUGAUGACUCAACAUUUUGUGUAGUCACGAUGGAGGACUUGUUUCCUGAAGACGUGAAGCAGCCAGAGACAGUGAAGCAGCCAGAGAUGGUGAGGCAGCCAGAGACAGUGAGGCAGCCAGAGAUGGUGAGGCAGACAGAGACGGUGAGUCAGCCAGAGAUGGUGAGGCAGACAGAGACGGUGAGGCAGCCAGAGAUGGUGAAGCAGCCAGAGACGGUGAGGCAGCCAGAGAUGGUAGAUCCCAAAGCCGAGGAGAUGAUAGAUCCCAAGGAUGCUGACAUGCUGGAGUUCGAUCGCUUUGUUGCCCAAGGAUGCUUGACUACAGAUUAUUCUGAUAAAAGCAAAGGUGUCAAAAUUGCUCCUGGAGCUCAAGGAGCUACUGCCAGCCAGAAGAAGAAGCAGCUACCCACAGUUGGGAAAAACAUCCCUGUGUUUAGAGCACCAGUAACCAUGAAGAAGACCAAAGCUCUACCUUCACAUGGGGCGACGCUUGCAUCAACUGUCGCCUCUAGUGGCCUUGUUGGCACAGGCAAUGCUGGUGUGCUGAGUAAAGCAAUAUAUCGGAAGCCAGCUGGUCCAGGCACCACAGGCAAACAAAAUAGGUGCCAAGAAAUUAUGGCUCAGAAGCAGCAUGCUAUGAACUCAAAUAGUAGCGCAAUGGCCAGGAAUGCGGCUGCCGGCACCGGAACACCAGCCAGGAAUGUGGCUGCCGGCGCUGGAGCACCAGCCAGGAAUGCGGCUCCCGCCACCGGAACACCAGCUAAAAGUGCGGCUCCUGCCACCGGAACACCGGCUAAAAAUGCGGCUCCUGCCAGUGGAACACCAGCCAGGAACACAGCUCCUGGCACUGGAACACCACCAGUCAGGAACACGGCUCCUGGCACUGGAACACCACCAAUCAGGAACAUGGCUCCCGGUACUGGAACACCAUCAGUCAGGAACACGGCUACCGGCACUGGAACACCACCAGUCAGGAACACGGCUCCCGGCACUGGAGCACCACCAGUCAGGAACACGGCUCCCGGCACUGGAACACCACCAGUCAGGAACAUGGCUCCCGGCCCUGGAACACCUGCAGUCAGGAACACGGCUCCUGGCACUGGAACAGCAGCCAGGAACUCGCUUACUGGCACCGGAACGCCACAGGCCAGGAACUUGCUCACCGGCACAGGAACACCACCAGCUAGGAAUGCGGCUCCUGUCACCGGAGCAACACCAGCCAGGAACUUGCUUACCGGCACGGGAACACCACCAGCCAUUCGUCAACAUAACCCAGCGGUGAAUGGGGCUAGCAAGGGGAAUCCGCCGGCCAGCCAAUAG
rnacentral:rRNA from 1 species